rnacentral:rRNA from 1 species
GAUGAACGCUGGCGGCGUGCCUAAUACAUGCAAGUCGAGCGAACGGACGAGAAGCUUGCUUCUCUGAUGUUAGCGGCGGACGGGUGAGUAACACGUGGAUAACCUACCUAUAAGACUGGGAUAACUUCGGGAAACCGGAGCUAAUACCGGAUGAUAUUUUGAACCGCAUGGUUCAAAAGUGAAAGACGGUCUUGCUGUCACUUAUAGAUGGAUCCGCGCUGCAUUAGCUAGUUGGUAAGGUAACGGCUUACCAAGGCAACGAUGCAUAGCCGACCUGAGAGGGUGAUCGGCCACACUGGAACGGGGACACGGUCCAGACUCCUACGGGAGGCAGCAGUAGGGAAUCUUCCGCAAUGGGCGAAAGCCUGACGGAGCAACGCCGCGUGAGUGAUGAAGGUCUUCGGAUCGUAAAACUCUGUUAUUAGGGAAGAACAUAUGUGUAAGUAACUGUGCACAUCUUGACGGUACCUAAUCAGAAAGCCACGGCUAACUACGUG